rnacentral:rRNA from 1 species
CCCUAUGGGGUGCAGCAGGCGCGAAACCUCCACAAUGCACGAAAGUGUGAUGGGGCUACCUCGAGUGCCGCCUGAAGAAGGCGGCUUUUCAGUGGUUUAACUAGCCAUUGGAAUAAGAGGGGGGCAAGACUGGUGUCAGCCGCCGCGGUAACACCAGCCCCUCGAGUUGUGGGGAUGUUUAUUUGGCCUAAAGCGUCCGUAGCCGGUUCGGUAAAUCCUUCGUUAAAUCCAGCGUCCUAAGCGUUGGGCCGCGAGGGAGACUGCCGAACUAGAGGGUGGGAAAGGUCAGCGGUAUUUCUGGGGUAGGGGCGAAAUCCAUUGAUCCCAGGAGGACCACCAGUGGCGAAGGCUGCUGACUUGAACACGCCUGACGGUGAGGGACGAAAGCUGGGGUAGCGAAUCGGAUUAGAUACCCGAGUAGUCCCAGCCGUAAACGAUGCAGACUAGGUGUCGGGGCGGUCACGCACCGCCUCAGUGCCACAGGGAAGCCAUUAAGUCUGCCGCCUGGGGAGUACGGUCGCAAGGCUGAAACUUAAAGGAAUUGGCGGGGGAGCACCACCAGGCGUGAAGCCUGCGGUUUAAUUGGAGUCAACGCCGGGAAACUUACCGGGAGCGACAGUAGGGUGAAGGCCAGGUUGAAGGUCUUGCCGGACGAGCUGAGAGGAGGUGCAUGGGCC